GGUUCUGUUUGCAACUGGGAAAAAGGAAGAGUUUAGUGAACAGCAAAUCUCAGGGAGCGGGAGAGGAGAGAGGAGAUGCAGGAGCCAAGAUCCACGGCACCUGCCGGCCUCUCCCUUUGCACUGACCUUCAGAAACUAUAACCAGGAAGGAUGAGCCACAAAGAGCCAGAAGAGGUGUGGCACCCCAAGGACUGGCCAUUUGGCAGGCACCGUGAGAUCAUUUUCUUGGCUUCUUAUAAUUGAAACCAUGCAGAGGGGCUGUGGUGAGUGGAGACAGAGAGAGAGAGAGAGAAGGGAUUGAUUUUGUAUAAGGAACUGGCUCACACAGUUAUGAAGGCUGACAAGUCCCAAGACCUGCAGUUGGCAAGCUGGAGGCCCAGGAGAGCCGAUGGUGAGCAACCAAGUCCUGUUCCGAUAUUCUUCCUUCAAACUUCCUCACCCAAGACUAAAAGUUCCACAGGUGUGCGAGUUGGCCGCAACUCUGCUGAUCUUGGCGGGGACUCCAGGCUCCAGGUUCCAAGGGUUCAUGUCGGCUCCAUGUGGCUCUCAUCACUCUCAGACUAACGGCUACCCAGGGCGUGUGGUCUGUUUUAUUGUCUCAUUCUCAGACCCAGGCUGAGGGCAGAGAGAACAGGUCUCCUGAAGACUGAGGCCUAGACCCUACGUGGUGCUCCUCUAUCCUCUCUCUGAAAUUAAGAGCUCUAUCCCCUGGGUCUAUAUUCCUCUGGGACACCAGCAGGAGCAGGACCCAAUUCCCUAGUUCCACUCGGCAUGAGUUCCUCAUCCUCCCGUUGGCCAGACCUUGCCUUCCCCAGCAGAAGGUGGAUUCUCGGCCCGUCUCACUGGGAGCCACGGAAUCUUGGCGUCCUCAGAUGCCGCUGUUCUGACUUCACCCACGUCAUCAGCCUUCUCAUCCCCAGCAGGCUUCCCACUGCAGUUCCUCGACAGUCGGAAAGUCCACUGGUCACACAAAUACAGGGCGAAGGUAAAAUGAAUUAAGGACCCAUUGCCUGUUCUCACCUCAUCAAAACACAUAAUCAAUAAUGUAUACUGUGUACUCCUGACUACCCCAUUCCAGCAAUUUUCUGAUCAGUUGAGGACUUCUGCCAUAACCUAAAAGAUCACAGUAUGCUGCAAGGCUUCUAGGAUUUUGCGGUCGGCUAUAGGCCUUCAGUAUUACAAUCAACGUGAAAGUCUAGUGGCAUAAAGGAGAGCCAUACUACAUAAGUCAAGGUAAUUUAACAUGGGAGAAGGAUUCAGCUAUGUCAUAAUCCCAUGUUUCCAUGACGUAUACUGGAAUAAGCAAAUGGACUCUUUAUUUAGCAAAGCAUUACUGCCUACUGAAAAAGAAUUCUAUUUUAGAAUCACAAAUAUAUGAGAGCACAGGCUCCGGAAGCACAGGCUCAGUGGCCAUGGCUCACGGGCCCAGCCGCUCCGCAGCACGUGGGAUCUUCCCGGACCGGGGCACGAACCCGCGUCCCCUGCAUCGGCAGGCGGACUCUCAACCACUGCGCCACCAGGGAAGCCCUGCAAUGUUGUAUUUUAGCCCAGACAUUUGUUGCCAAGUACAAGAGAAGAAUUUAACCUACUGAACAAUUAUACACCUCAGACAACCGGAAUAAACCUUGAGUCAUCAAAAUGUUCAAGUAUUACAAAACUAUCUUUUAAGAAGGAGAAGGUCCACACUCCAAAACCUGGGCAUUCACAGCCCCUGGAUUCGCACAGCAACCUACACUUCAAACUACGCCCCGUGCCUCUGCGGACGAGCUUGCUCUGCUCCAGGCAGGCCGGCUGCUCAUCCAGCCCAAAUGAUACCUGCUCAGCGACACCUUCCAAAUACCCCCAAGCCGGGAACCAUCACCUCCUCCACCCUCCCGUGAGCUCUGUGUUUCUGUGACAGUUCUACGAGGCACCAGACCAUUUGCUCACCAGUCUCUGGAGGCCUUCGUCCUGAUCUUCAGGUCCCUUCUCAACCUCGGUCUCCAUGAUCUUUUCAGCUCUUCCUGGACUCUCCGAAAGACACCCUACACUCUACGAUUCUGUGUAUUUAAAGCCACUUCUAAGAAAUACGGCAUUGCAUCAGUGUCUCUGAGCUCCUGGUGCCUGCUGCGUGGACUGCCUGCCCCUUGCAUCCUCCGCAAAACCAUACCUGGCCUCCAUUUCCCACGGAAGCAACCGGGCACCAGCCCUGGAUUCACUGCACUGCAGCACUAACUGUGAGACUGCCUUCAAGUCCACUGGCCUUUGGAAUCUCAUUUUCUCCUUCUAGUAAAAACAAAACAAAACAAACAACAGAAAACAAAAUGUGCAGCUUCGUCAC